GACGAACGCUGGCGGCGUGCUUAACACAUGCAAGUCGAACGGUGAAGGGAUCAGCUUGCUGGUUCUGGAUGAGUGGCGAACGGGUGAGUAACACGUGAGUAACCUGCCCCCUUCUUCUGGAUAACCGCAUGAAAGUGUGGCUAAUACGGGAUAUUCUGGGUCUGUCGCAUGAUGGGUCUGGGAAAGAUAUUGUUUCGGUGGGGGAUGGGCUCGCGGCCUAUCAGCUUGUUGGUGGGGUGAUGGCCUACCAAGGCGGUGACGGGUAGCCGGCCGAGAGGGUGGACGGUCACACUGGGACUGAGACACGGCCCAGACUCCUACGGGAGGCAGCAGUGGGGAAUAUUGCACAAUGGGCGCAAGCCUGAUGCAGCGACGCCGCGUGAGGGAGGGAGGCCUUCGGGUUGUAAACCUCUUUCGCCAGUGAAGCAGGCCUGCUCCUUGUGGGUGGGUUGACGGUAGCUGGAUAAGAAGCGCCGGCUAACUACGUG
rnacentral:rRNA from 1 species